AGAAUAGAAAGCGGUACUUAAACAAUUGGAUUUAGAGCACAUUUGAACGGCACAAAACAAUGCUCGGAGCCAAAGUCCCUCCACGCCUCAUUACCCGCCGAAUCCCUUUUUCAAAAACCCCAACACACCUCAAUCCCCCCAACCCAAACCAAUCUCCCCCUCUCUUCGAAAACAUCUUACACCUCUUGAAACAGUGUGCCUCCACCAAACAGUUGAAGCAAAUCCACACCCAAAUGCUCAUAAACUCCGUCGACAAACCCAACUUCCUCCUCCCCAGAAUCAUUGACCUCAAAGACUUCACUUAUGCCUCCCUUCUCUUCUCCCACAUCCCCGAACCCAACGACUACGCCUUCAACGUCAUGAUCCGCGGCCUGACCACCACAUGGCAGAAAUAUCAGCUUACUAUUGAAUUCUAUUACCAAAUGAAGUCUUUGUAUUUGAUGCCCAAUAAUUUUACUUACCCGUUUGUGUUCAUCGCGUGUGCGAACUUGUUGGAGUUGAAUCAUGGGCGUGCAGCGCAUUCGUCGGUGUUUAAGAGUGGGUUGGAUAAGGAUGGACAUGUGAGUCACUCGUUGAUUACUAUGUAUGCAAGGUGUGGUGAGUUGGGUUUCGCACGGAAAGUGUUUGAUGAAAUUUCUGAGAGGGACUUGGUUUCGUGGAAUUCAAUGAUUUCUGGGUAUUGCAAGAUGGGCUGUGCUGGGGAUGCUGUGCAGUUUUUUUGCGAAAUGAGGACUGAUGGGUUUGAGCCAGACGAAAGGACCUUGGUAACAGUUCUUGGGGCGUGCGGGGACCUGGGUGAUUUGAGUUUGGGUAAGUGGGUGGAGGGUUUUGUGGUUGAGAAUAAGUUGGAGAUGAAUACAUAUGUGGGGUCUGCGUUGAUUGGUAUGUAUGGAAAGUGUGGUGAUUUGUCUUCAGCGAGGAGGGUCUUUGACAGCAUGAAGAAAAAGGAUCUGAUAACCUGGAAUGCCAUGAUUUCAGGGUAUGCACAAAAUGGAAUGUCUGAUGAGGCAAUGGUGCUCUUUGAUGGUAUGAAAGAGGCAGGUGUCAAUCCUGAUAAAAUCACGUUGGUGGGAGUGUUGUCUGCAUGCGCCUCAAUUGGUGCCCUAGAAUUGGGGAAAUGGAUCGACACAUAUGCAACUGAACGAGGCUUACAACAUGAGAUUUACGUUGGUACUGCAUUGAUUGACAUGUAUGCUAAGUGUGGGAGCUUAGCCACUGCUCUGAGAGUUUUUGAAGACAUGCCCCAGAAAAAUGAGGUUUCUUGGAAUGCCAUGAUAUCUGCCCUUGCUUUCCAUGGGAGAGCACAUGAAGCAAUAUCCCUAUUCAAGCGCAUGACAGAAGGUUCUGCAUCUGUUCGGCCAAAUGACAUCACAUUUGUAGGAUUACUUUCUGCAUGUGUUCAUGCUGGAUUAGUCGACAAGGGUCGUCAGUUAUUUAAUUUGAUGAGCUCGUCAUUUGGGCUUGUUCCAAAAAUAGAGCAUUACUCUUGCAUGGUUGACCUUUUGUCACGUGCAGGACUUGUACAUGAAGCUUGGGACUUUAUUCAGAAAAUGCCUGAAAAACCAGAUCAAGUUGUACUGGGGGCGUUGCUUGGUGCCUGUAGGAAGUGUAAAAAUGUAGAUGUCUCCGAGCAGGUAUUGCAGUUGCUUCUUGAAUUAGAGCCUGCAAAUUCUGGAAACUAUGUUAUCUCAUCAAAGAUAUAUGCAAAUUCAGAAAUGUGGGAUGAUUCAGCGAGGAUGAGAAUGUUGAUGAGACAAAGAGGUGUCAGUAAGACUCCUGGUUGUAGCUGGAUUGGGAAUGAGGAUCAACUUCAUGAGUUUCACUCGGGUGAAGGCUCAACAGAGAUUCUCGAUGUAAUUAAAUUACUAUAUGAGGAUCUGAAGAUUGAAGGUUACAUUCCAAACAUUAAUUCUGUCUAGAGAAACGAGGAUGACGCCCUGCUAUGCAUCUGGAUCUUAUCAACAAAAUGACAUGUUUAUAAGAUUGUGAUGCCAGUGUGCAUAUUCAGAGAAAUGAAUAUAAGUAUGACCGUAGCCAUGGAAGAAGAAAUUAAACUAAACAGGCAUUGGAUUGAACUUCAAAGGUCUAAAGGUUACCCUACUGCUGCCCGCGACUGGACGCAAUGGUCCUUGGCAGAAAUCAGCAAUUGACUGACUAGGAUUUACACUUCAUUGUCCUGCAACAAUUGUACAUAGCUCUCCCUACGUCUUCUCUUCCUUCAUUUCUUUGUGUGUUGUUUUCCUGCUUUACUUUUUACAUAUAUGGCUCCAUAAUUCUCUGGUGAGGUGUUCAUAGCAGUGAUAAGAGAUCACCAUCAUGCUGGUGUGAUUUGUAUUGUCAUGCAUGCCUCAAGUUUAAUCACGAGGCCCGCGGAGAAUAAGUUGACUUUAGAUUUUAGAAUCAACUUGAACAAUUGCCCACGCGCUACUGCGGGUUUUGAAACCAUAAUGUAGGACAUGCAUAAAUAAUUUUGACAGAAAGACGUACAAAUUGUUGA